rnacentral:lncRNA from 1 species
CCAGGUUAAAUACCUCAUCUUGCUCUCAGCCCAGGUGAGGUUACAAGGCAUUCUGGGGAAGUGGAGCAAGGACUUCUGGGGAUUGAAAUCCUGGAAUCAAGUUUCCAUUUUUACACCUGGUAAUGUAUGUGAUAUGCUCACAUCUCUCAUACUGGAAACUAUGCUUCUAGAAAGAUAGCCACAGAGCUGGCUGGCUUUAGGAUUGAGAUACCAUCCUUGCCUGUGUGUCUGCUUGUAUGCCAUGUCAUCUCUUCCUGUACACUUUCCAGCAGACUGACUUGGUAGUUAGAGACAUGGAAGUAGGAAGGUCUUGGUUCAAAUCUUAACUCUGCAACUUUCUAGCUGGGCAUGAGUCACUUAACCCCGCUGAACCUCAGCUUCCUCAGUUAUACAAUGUUGACAAAAUUACCUGAAAGUAGCUAGGCGGCACAGUGGAUUGAGUGCUGGAUCUGGAGUCAGGAAGACCUGAAUUCAAAUACAGCUUUACAGACACACUAGUUCUGUGAACCUAGAUAAGUCACUUAACCCUAUUUGCCUCAGUUUCCUCAAUAUGUAAAAUGAAUUGGAAAAGGAAAUGGCAAACCACUUCAGUAUUUUUUGCCAGGAAAAUCCCAAAUGAGGUCACAAAGAGUUGGACACAACUGAAACGACUGAACAAUGACCAUCUUCUUUGCAUUCAUUUACCUUCCACUCCAGCCUAGCCAUUCUCCUCAUUACUUGUUAGAUAUGCCUAUGCAAUUUGGAGAUAGAAACGAAAUCAGACUUGGACUCUGGAGAACUGAUAUAUUCUCUCCAAACCUAUAAUACACAUAAUCAAGUAUGAUUAGAGUGAUCUCUAUCAGGCUAUUGGGUAAUUGACACAAACAAGGCACCAAAUUUCAGACCAGAGAUAAAAGAUAUAUGAAGUGGAGUGUACUCUGUCAAUAAUGAGGGGAACUCUUCAGAACUGACACUUCACACUGGCAGUGAAGGAUGCUUCCCAGUUGUUUGCAGAGAGGUGGUGGGCCAUUGCUGUGGAGAAAGGUUUUCCAGUAUCCCUUGGAACACAUCUCCUUUUGAAACAGAAACCCAGAAGAAGGCUCAGACAUGAUUCAUAUCACUUGAUCAUUCGGAUUUGGAUCAUUCAUUCGAACUCAGACAUUCGGACUCAGACAUUCGGACAGUCAUUUGGAGAUUCAGGCACUGACCUGGAGGAGAGACUGGAAGACAGACCCUUGAGUAGUGACCAGGAUACAGACACUCAGACUUCAUUUAGUCUGUCACCUUUGGUCACGUACCCUGUGGGAUGCUUUGGUGGUAAUGAGAUGCAGCUUAUUCAUGUUCAUAAUCCACAGUACACCACCAGAAGAAUGUUAAUGCUAAAAAAGAGAUAAGCUUUUGUUUCAUAUAGAAACCCGGGGUCACUAAAGGCUAAGUAUUCCUACUUUUUUCAAAUGAUCUUUGGCCUUCC